UAAGACGGAGGAUGCAAGCGUUAUCCGGAAUGAUUGGGCGUAAAGCGUCCGCAGGUGGCAGUUCAAGUCUGCUGUCAAAGACCGGGGCUUAACUUCGGAAAGGCAGUGGAAACUGAACAGCUAGAGUAUGGUAGGGGCAGAGGGAAUUCCUGGUGUAGCGGUGAAAUGCGUAGAUAUCAGGAAGAACAUCGGUGGCGAAGGCGCUCUGCUGGACCAUAACUGACACU
rnacentral:rRNA from 1 species